rnacentral:rRNA from 1 species
UCGCUCCUACUGAUUGAGUGACCCGGUAAAUAAUCUGGAUCACCGCGUUGCUCAAUUCUAGAGUGCUGAUGUGCAAAGUUUGGUGAACCUUAUCACUUAGAGGAAGGAG